UGAGGAAUAUUGGUCAAUGGAGGCAACUCUGAACCAGCCACGUCGCGUGAAGGAAGACGGCCCUACGGGUUGUAAACUUCUUUUGUAAGGGAAUAAAGUGAGUCACGCGUGACUUUUUGCAUGUACCUUACGAAUAAGGAUCGGCUAACUCCGUG
rnacentral:rRNA from 1 species